rnacentral:rRNA from 1 species
CCUACGGGAGGCAGCAGUGAGGAAUAUUGGUCAAUGGACGAGAGUCUGAACCAGCCAAGUAGCGUGAAGGAUGACUGCCUUAGGGGUGGUAAACUUCUUUUAGAUGGGAAUAAAAUGUUCCAUGUGUGGGAUUUUGUAUGUACCAUAUGAAUAAGGAUCGGCUAACUCCGUGCCAGCAGCCGCGGUAAUACGGAGGAUCCGAGCGUUAUCCGGAGUUAUUGGGUGUAAAGGGAGCGUAGGUGGAAUGUUAAGUCAGUUGUGAAAGUUUGCGGCUCAACCGUAAAAUUGCAGUUGAAACUGGCAGUCUUGAGUACAGUAGAGGUGGGCGGAAUUCGUGGUGUAGCGGUGAAAUGCUUAGAUAUCACGAAGAACUCCAGUUGCGAAGGCAGUUCACUGGACUACAACUGACACUGAGGCUCGAAAGUGUGGGUAUCAAACAGGAUUAGAUACCCCAGUAGUC